CUGCUCAGUGGAGACACCUGCUUCUUGUGGGAGAAUUGCAAAGUGAGGAUGGCCAAGGCUUUCCUUAAAACUCCCUGUGCCAGAAAGGCAAGGACUUACCCAUGCAAGUAUCACCUGUGGAAUGAAAACAACAAGGAGAGAUUCUUGGAGGAGGCAGCAUAAUAGGUGGAGAAGAACCUGGGUUUCUAGUCCUGAUUUUGCCAGUAUUGCGAUUUGGAAGGUCAGCAGGAACCAACAACCAGGAGCAGAACAAAAGUCCUAAUUGAUGAAAUAAGACACAGAGGACAAGAGCCUGGCCUGACAGAAGUUGCUGCAUGACAAGGAAGUCUGAUUUCAGGAACGAUCUAUUUCUCCUCCACCCUCAUUCAACUUGUCUUGCUGCCCUAAAGGAAGAAAGCUCCACAGCCCACCAGGGGAAGCAUAGUGCAGGCCCAGAAUGAGAAGAGUCUUUAGGGGCAACUUGAAGCCGUGGCUCCUUGCUCCUUGCUCUCUCAAAGCUGGGAACACAUUUUACCUAUGAGGGCAGAAAACAAUCAUAAUUCUCCAUCUCUGUAGAGGGACAGCAACACACACUCUCCAAUCAACAAGGAAUCUAUGAACAUCUGAACUUGCGUUGAAUCUGAUGAAAUGAGUUUGAUGGGGUUCAGGACACACUACCCCAAAACAUGGUAAGGGGCAUUUUUAUAUCCAAAGACAGAGGGACACAGAGAAAAAUCUGAAUGAACAGGCCUUGCUAAGUUUCCCAUAGUUUACUACUCUUAGCUCAUACCCUUUUGUCCCAUCACAUUUUUCCACAACUUUCCACUUUUUAUCAGACCUAGCCUAAAAAUGCUCAGGUUUCACCACUUCUUUGGGUCUUUUUUUCCUUAUGAAAACUCUUAUG